UUUUUCUUUUCUUCUUCGAUCAUCGUAUAAAGAGAGAGAGAGAGAGAGAGAGAGAGAUCGAGAAAAAUCGAAAUUUUUUUUGUUAGGAAAAAACCGAGAAAUCUUUUUCCUCUAGUAUCUCAACGUUUUUAUUAUUGAGCGAACGAUCGUUGAUUCUCCUCCAAGAGAAAUCUCGUUUUCCUUAUUUUCCGGAAAUUUACAUUGUUUAAACAUUUAUAAGGUAUCGCAGUGAGAAAAGAGAAUUCAUUUAUUACGCAAUUAAAAAAGAUAUAUAUAUAUAUAUAUAUAUAUAUAUAUAUAUAUAUAUAUAUCUAAUGUACGUACAAUGAUUGUCUCAUCGAAUUGAAAUUGAUCAUUACUUUCGUAUUCUUUCCUCGAGAAGAACAAGGAAAAGAUAUCGUUUAUACGAUACACGGAAUAAUAAAUGAGAAUUUGUGAAUAUAUCCAAUUAAUUUAUUCUUCAAAUAGAACGUGGAAUUUCGCGAAUAAUUUUUUCUUUCUUUUUUUUUUUUUUUCUUUCUUUUCUUCGUUGCAAUGUUUGAAUUGGGAAUUUUCUUGCGCCGGACCUGGGACUAUCCACUUUGCCCCCUCUACCGUCGCUAACGGGUACUCUCUCGACCUACGACGAUGACGACGACACGCGAACGGUGACGAACGGCGACGAACGAUGAUGACCGUGACUCAUUUGUUCUCUCACCAAAUUCUACCUCUUGCUACGUAUCCGCCCCUGCUAAUUACACGACCCUAAUGUGUACACUUGUUUUCAUAGUAAUUCGGUAUCUCUCACCGUUGGUGGUCAAAAUAUAAAUAUAUGUGUGUUCGCGCUGGCACGUUUAGACUAACUUUCGCGAUUCAUUCUCACGAGAAAGACACGUGUGUCCAAGAAUGUGCUGCGACCCGUGGCCGAUUCCUAUCGUUAGAACCAAAAACGUACCACUCGAUUGGUCAUUUAUUUUAGCGCGAUAUUUACGCGAAAGAUGUCGUUUUCAUCGAGUUGUACGAGACGAAAUAUUGCCUUUCAACUUCUUCCCCAUCAUUUUAAAAUCUUUAUAAUCGAUCAAGAGAUCUUUAUGAUCGAUAAAAAAGAGAAUGUAAGAGAAAGAUAAAAAGAGAGAGAGAGAGAGAGAGAGAGAGAAUAAAUAAUAAUUUCUUUUAGCCUAUUUGCAUUCGUAAAUAUAUAUAUAUAUGGCCUAAAGUGUCUUUUAUUAUCAAUCAUAUUAUCAAUUACAUAGGUAUUAUCAUAGAGAUAUAUCAAAAGAAAAGAUAUCGUAAAAUUGACAACUAUAUCACUCGUCUAUGUCUAUAUCAACUAUAUCUCUCUCGUUUAUUUCUAGUAAUUUUUUGUAGUUACGUAACAAUAGUUAAUUGGGUAAAAUCAAUUCAUCCUGGUAAUUGUAAAACAAUUAAAGUGCAACUUGUUAUAGUAGCUAAGAAUUACUUAUAUCCGAAUUCUUAUCGUCACUAGUUUCAACGAUUUUAUUUUCGAGAUUACAACUACGUAGAUAAGACUAUGAUACGCCGUAAAUUAUGAUGCUGUUAUUUACUGACUCAUCAAAUAAUAAAGUCUUAUGCACCAGAACUAGGAUAUGAUUUAUGUAUUAUGUUUGUUGACUCUAUUAACAUCCGAAUUAUGUGACGAUAUAUAUAUAUAUAUAUAUAUAUA